GCCCAGGUGGUGGAAUUGGUAGACACGCGGGACUUAAAAUCCCGUGGGCAGUAAUGUCCGUGCGGGUUCAAGUCCCGCCCUGGGUA
rnacentral:tRNA from 1 species